AAACAGGUGCUAAUACCGGAUAAGAAAGCGGAUCGCAUGAUCAGCUUUUAAAAGGCGGCGUAAGCUGUCGCUAUGGGAUGGCCCCGCGGUGCAUUAGCUAGUUGGUAAGGUAAAGGCUUACCAAGGCGAUGAUGCAUAGCCGAGUUGAGAGACUGAUCGGCCACAUUGGGACUGAGACACGGCCCAAACUCCUACGGGAGGCAGCAGGA
rnacentral:rRNA from 1 species